CCAAGGCAGCUUUCUUAUUUACAGAAACCAGAGGCCACCUGAGGAGGUGUCCAAGGUGUCUGGGCAGCACUGAACAGUUCGUAAUUUGUUGACGUCCUCCAAACUCCAUGGGCUAAAGGCUUCUCAGAGUGGUGCUGUUGGGAGACUGGAGCUUCUGAGAGGUCCAAAGCUGGUAGAGAAGAAUUAGGCCCUAGGAAGUCUGCCCUCACAAGAGUGGGGACCCAGCCUGCUUCUUCCUCUUCUGGGCUCCCAAUUCUGACUAAGUUUGCAGUGUGGCCUCCUGACCAAUCUGUUCCUGUAGCAAACACAAUGCAUCACUACAAGAGGG
rnacentral:lncRNA from 1 species